rnacentral:rRNA from 1 species
CGAAGGUGGCAAGCGUUGUUCGGAUUCACUGGGCGUACAGGGUGUGUAGGCGGUUUGGUAAGCCUUCUGUUAAAGCUUCGGGCCCAACCCGGAAAGCGCAGAGGGUACUGCCAGGCUAGAGGGCGGGAGAGGAGCGCGGAAUUCCCGGUGUAGCGGUGAAAUGCGUAGAGAUCGGGAGGAAGGCCGGUGGCGAAGGCGGCGCUCUGGAACGUACCUGACGCUGAGACACGAAAGCGUGGGGAGCAAACAGGAUUAGAUACCCUGGUAGUCCACGCCCUAAACUAUGGAUACUAAGUGUCGGCGGGUUACCGCCGGUGCCGCAGCUAACGCAUUAAGUAUCCCGCCUGGGAAGUACGGCCGCAAGGUUG